rnacentral:sRNA from 1 species
GUUGGGCACGGUGGCAUAUGCCUGUAAUCCCAGCAGCUCAGGAGGCUGAGACAGGAGGAUCACGAGUUCAAAGCCAACCUCAGCAAAAAGCAAGGCACUAAACAACUCAGUGAGACCCUGUCUCAA